GAGCUCGUAGGCGGUUUGUCGCGUCUGCUGUGAAAUCCCGAGGCUCAACCUCGGGUCUGCAGUGGGUACGGGCAGACUAGAGUGCGGUAGGGGAGAUUGGAAUUCCUGGUGUAGCGGUGGAAUGCGCAGAUAUCAGGAGGAACACCGAUGGCGAAGGCGGAUCUCUGGGCCGUAACUGACGCUGAGGAGCGAAAGGGUGGGGAGCAAACAGGCUUAGAUACCCUGGUAGUCCACCCCGUAAACGUUGGGAACUAGUUGUGGGGACCAUUCCACGGUUUCCGUGACGCAGCUAACGCAUUAAGUUCCCCGCCUGGGGAGUACGGCCGCAAGGCUAAAACUCAAAGGAAUUGACGGGGACCCCCACAAGCGGCGGAGCAUGGGGAUUAAUUCGAUGCAACGCGAAAAACCUUACCAAGGCUUGACAUAUACGAAAACGGGCCAGAAAUGGUCAACUCUUUGGACACUCGUAAACAGGUGGUGCAUGGUUGUCGUCAGCUCGUGUCGUGAGAUGUUGGGUUAAGUCCCGCAACGAGCGCAACCCUCGUUCUAUGUUGCCAGCACGUAAUGGUGGGAACUCAUGGGAUACUGCCGGGGUCAACUCGGAGGAAGGUGGGGAUGACGUCAAAUCAUCAUGCCCCUUAUGUCUUGGGCUUCACGCAUGCUACAAUGGCCGGUACAAAGGGCUGCAAUACCGUGAGGUGGAGCGAAUCCCAAAAAGCCGGUCCCAGUUCGGAUUGAGGGCUGCAACUCGACCUCAUGAA
rnacentral:rRNA from 1 species